rfam:Trichobilharzia regenti genome assembly, scaffold: TRE_scaffold0056741
GUACUGCUGAAGAGUCCCAAACUGAAACGAAACAGCUGUCCAGUAC